UAGGAUAGGGAUUCCAGAUGCCUUGUCUCUGGUGUAGCCUACCGCAGGUCUCAGGACACAGGGCCUUUAGCUACAGUAACCAGGAGGUAGGUACCUAAAGGUAAAAAGCACCUUCCCCCACACCCAAAUAUUCACGUCUUGUCAUUGCUUACACGGUCCUUUGUCUUGUACUGUUACAAGCUUGAAUCAAAUAAACAAAACACUGGUUUGCAGCAGAAGCAAUCAGCACAUGGUCUGUCAAACAAGAUGGACCUCCUUGGAUAUUACCCAGAGGAAGGUCUGGCAUUUAUUACCAGAUUCUCUCUUCUCCCCAACUCCACAUCCCCAGCCCCGAGCCCACAAUAAUCCCCCACACUCUAAGACAGCGCGUCAUUAAUUUCUAGAGGUAAACUCUCAAAUCACAACCCUGCUUGGGAGUUUCCUAAGAUAACUGCCCACUUCCAUGGGAAACACUCACUACCCGGUUAUUGAGGGAAAUGCUAUUUGGACCCUGAGAUGGGCAGAGAGCCAAAGGAUCUGGAGGCAGUGGUCGCUUUGAAUGGUUGGGAACCAGAGUGGAUGGGGACUGGAUUCUUCUAAAGGGUUCUUAGGAGAAAGAAGAGCAUAGGUUGGCAAGUUUGACCAAUAGCAUACGGGGGAGUUUCAAGGUAGGAGCAGUGUCUGGGGAAAGUUUGUAGGCCUUUGUCACAGGAGCAAAGAAUCAGUCAGAAGAGAGUUUUUAGAUGAAUGAGCCCAACUGGGCCUGGGGGAGGGAGCCUAAGGGCUGGGCUGGGCUGAGACUAAGGUUACUUCAUUAAUUUUUAAUUCCCCUUUUCCUUCCUCCCUCCUUCUAUUUCCUUUUUACCCCCAAAGAUAUUCACAUUUUGGCAUUGCUUACCAAUUCCUUGGUCUUAGGAGUUACGAUUACUUGAGGAUUUAUUUAGUGAAUGUUGACCAGCACCUAUCACGUAAGGUCCAGCAUCAUGGAGUGCAGAGAUGGACUUGUCUGUGACCCUCUCCUAAGGCCUGACAGUCCCCCCAAAAGCUUGGGAUGGUAUGCAAUAAUUGACGAAUUUUAUACUCGAAUGUUUUUGCCUGUUUUCUUUGAUUUGCAUUCCCUAUUUGUUUCUCUGCCCUUUGUUUUUUGUUCUGUUGUGUUUUUUUUCCCCCUGCCCUUUGUUUUAAGCAUUGCUUUUAUCCCUCAGAAGACACAGGCCCAGAAAGAAGAUGGUUUUCCUGGCUCUCAGUCUGAAGUUCUAACCUAUCAUAAGAGAGGAAAUUUAAAAAUGGACCU
rnacentral:lncRNA from 1 species